AGGAAGGUAGUGUAGUUAACACCUGCAUUAUUUGACGUUACCUACAGAAGAAGCACCGGCUAACUCCGUGCCAGCAGCCGCGGUAAUACGGGAGGGUGCGAGCGUUAAUACGGAAUUACGUGGGACGUAAAGCGCAUGCAGGCGGCCUGUUAAGUCAGAUGUAGAAAGGCCCGGGGACCUUUAACCGUACGGUAAGUUGCUAUUUAGUAAACGUGGCGAGGCUAGAGUCUUGUAGAGGGGGGUAGGAAUUUCAGGUGUAGCGGUGAAAUGCGUAGAGAUCUGAAGGAAUACCAGUGGCGAAGGCGGCCCCCUGGACAAAGACUGACGCUCAGAUGCGAAAGCGUGGGGAGCAAACAGGAUUAGAUACCCUGGUAG
rnacentral:rRNA from 1 species